UACGGAGGGGGCUAGCGUUGUUCGGAAUUACUGGGCGUAAAGGGCGCGUAGGCGGCCUGUUAAGUCGAACGUGAAAUCCCCGGGCUCAACCCGGGAACUGCGUCCGAUACUGGCAGGCUUGAAUUCGGGAGAGGGAUGCGGAAUUCCAGGUGUAGCGGUGAAAUGCGUAGAUAUCUGGAGGAACACCGGUGGCGAAGGCGGCAUCCUGGACCGAGAUUGACGCUGAGGCGCGAAAGCCAGGGGAGCAAACGGG
rnacentral:rRNA from 1 species